rnacentral:rRNA from 1 species
CAAAAACAUGUCUUUUUGAUUUUGAUUGAAGGUCUGGCCUGCCCAAUGAAGUUUAAAUGUCCGCAGUAUUUUGACUGUGCAAAGGUAGCAUAAUCAUUAGUUUCCUAAUUAGGAGCUGGAAUGAAAGGUUUGAUGAGAAAUCAACUGUCUCAUGGUUAUUGUGAUUGAAUUUUAUUUUUGAGUUAAAAAGCUUAAAUUUUAUAUAGGGACGAGAAGACCCUAUAGAGUUUUAUUAUUUUCAUUUUUAUAGGGAGAAAGUUGAGUGAUUACAAAAUUUGAAUUAAUUUUGCUAGGGGGAUGAAAAAAUUUGAUUAAAUUUCUUUUUAAUUUUUACCCUAUUGAGGGUUUUUUUGAUCCUUUUUUUAAUAUUAUAAGAUUAUAUUACCUUAGGGAUAACAGCGUAAUUUCUUUUGAAAGUUCAUAUUUAUAAAGGAGUUUGCGACCUCGAUGUUGGAUUAAAGUUAAUUUUUGGUGUAGAGGCUAAAAUAUUAGGUCUGUUCGACCUUUGAAACUUUACAUGAUCUGAGU